UUUCAGGCAAAAUGAUUAAUAGAUUAAUAAUUCAAAAUCCUUCCAGACCAUGACAGUCGUUGGUCACUUUUUGACUCCAUUUGCAAAUGUGAAGUGCAUCUUGUUGGUGUUGCUCGCACCUAGGACCACAGCAAUUGCAUUAAAACUUAGGGGUGAAAACAAAGAAAGAAAGAACAGCUCGCUUACCAGAUUGAUUUCAGCCAGUUCCAGGGAAUUUUUCUUGCGGGGAAGAAGAGAAACUGUACACACGCGGCCGUCACUGUCGCUUGAGUUUGUACUUCUCAAUCAUUUGCCACUCACCUUGUCACUUUGCUGAGGAAAACAAUAUUCGCGAAUCAGCCAUGCAGAUUAUAUUACUAAAAUCCCUGAAAAGCGCGGAAGAACCCUAAGGCGAUGCGCUUUCUCGAUACUGUGGAGCUCAAGAAGCAUGUGGCGGCUCUCGAGUUCCAUACUGAUGUAAUCCGAAAACUGCUGCGCCAAGAACUUCCUGACUUGGAGGCACUUGUUUCUUUUUCCGCCGAAUGUUGAUUGAAUCAAGGUGAAUUUUCCCCAGCUUUCUCUGUGGGCUUGAAGACUUGGGGAUCGAGCGGAAGAAGCUG
rnacentral:lncRNA from 1 species